CCUACGGGAGGCAGCAGUGAGGAAUAUUGGUCAAUGGACGCAAGUCUGAACCAGCCAAGCCGCGUGCAGGAAGACGGCUCUAUGAGUUGUAAACUGCUUUUGUACGAGGGUAAACGCAGAUACGCGUAUCUGUCUGAAAGUAUCGUACGAAUAAGGAUCGGCUAACUCCGUGCCAGCAGCCGCGGUAAUACGGAGGAUUCAAGCGUUAUCCGGAUUUAUUGGGUUUAAAGGGUGCGUAGGCGGUCGGAUAAGUUAGAGGUGAAAUCCCGAGGCUCAACUUCGGAAUUGCCUCUGAUACUGUUCUGCUAGAGUGUAGUUGCGGUAUGCGGAAUGUGUGGUGUAGCGGUGAAAUGCUUAGAGAUCACGCAGAACACCGAUUGCGAAGGCAGCUUACCAGGCUACUUCUGACGUUGAGGCACGAAAGCGUGGGGAGCGAACAGGAUUAGAUACCCGAGUAGUC
rnacentral:rRNA from 1 species